AGUGAACGCUGGCGGUAGGCCUAACACAUGCAAGUCGAACGGCAGCACAGUAAGAGCUUGCUCUUACGGGUGGCGAGUGGCGGACGGGUGGGGAAUACAUCGGAAUCUACUUUUUCGUGGGGGAUAACGUAGGGAAACUUACGCUAAUACCGCAUACGUCCUACGGGUGAAAGCAGGGGUUCUUCGGACCUUGCGCGAUUGAAUGAGCCGAUGUCGGAUUAGCUAGUUGGCGGGGUAAAGGCCCACCAAGGCGACGAUCCGUAGCUGGUCUGAGAGGAUGAUCAGCCACACUGGAACUGAGACACGGUCCAGACUCCUACGGGAGGCAGCAGUGGGGAAUAUUGGACAAUGGGCGCAAGCCUGAUCCAGCAAUACCGCGUGGGUGAAGAAGGCCUUCGGGUUGUAAAGCCCUUUUGUUGGGAAAGAAAAGCAGCAGGUUAAUACCCCGCUGUUCUGACGGUACCCAAAGAAUAAGCACCGGCUAACUUCGUG
rnacentral:rRNA from 1 species